rnacentral:rRNA from 1 species
UCUGGUGGCCGGAGCGGGGCGGUCCCACCCGUUCCCAUCCCGCACACGGCCGUGAAGCGCCCCAGCGCCGACGAUACUGCGGCCGGAAGGCCGCGGGACAAUAGGUCGCCGCCAGGG